CUAAAUUUGUGUUUGACUUUAGGUUAUCAGUAUAUUGCGUUAAAUUCAAACUGCAUGGUAUGCAUGUGUUUUUAGUCCAUUCAUCAUUGUAUAGCUUAUCUUCUAAAGAUUGCUGGAAUCAGAUCAGUGGACAGGAAUAUGUACUAUAAGUAUAACCUCAAUAUCUCAUCUGGCAAAAUGAUGGAUCGGAGCGUGUUACCACAUUAUGCUUUCCGGAAAUAUUUCUCAAAUCACAGUGACAAUUACGGAGGAUGUUUCUGAAGUUUUGACGUCUAAUGUUUUCAGAAUAUGUGAUGAUCGUGCGUUUAGUCCUCUUCCCCAUCCUCUCUUCAUUGUGUGCAGUGUGCUCUGGUGUUGCACUCUAAAAAAUAUAAGGUUCAACGCACCUUCUGUCGCCAAAUGCACACAUCUUAAGGCGUGUUUUUUACACAGGUUAAGGUGUGUAUUUGCACGAUAAAGGUGUGUAUUUUUACAUGCACGCCUUAAGGUGUGUAUUUGCACGAUAAAGGUGUGUAAUAUACUGUUAUUCGGUCGAACGUUGUGUAUAUUCAAAAGGUGUGUAAAAUUGGGAAAGGUGUGUAUAUUCAAAAGGUGUGUAAAAUUGGGAAAGGUGUGUAUAUUCAAAAGGUGUGUAAAAUUGGGAAAGGUGUGUAUACUCAAAAGGUGUGUAGCAUAGAAAGGUGUGUAUAUUCAAAAGGUGUGUAAAAUUGGGAAAGGUGUGUAUAUUCAAAAGGUGUGUAAAAUUGGGAAAGGUGUGUAUAUUCAAAAGGUGUGUAAAAUUGGGAAAGGUGUGUAUACUCAAAAGGUGUGUAGCAUAGAAAGGUGUGUAUAUUCAAAAGGUGUGUAAAAUUGGGAAAGGUGUGUA